CAAUAGCGUAUAUUAAAGUUGUUGCGGUUAAAAGCUCGUAGUUGGAUUUCUGUUGAAAACAGGCGGUCCACCUUUUGGGUGAGUAUCUGCAUUGGUUUCGGCAUCUUCUCGAAAAACGUCUCUGCGCUUGAUUGCGUGGAACGGAGUUCGGGACUUUUACUUUGAGGAAAUUAGAGUGUUCACGGCAGGCAUACGCCUUGAAUAUAUUAGCAUGGAAUAAUAAUAUAGGGCGUAAGUUCUAUCUUGUUGGUUUCUAGAACAUACGCAAUGAUUAAUAGGGACAAUUGGGGGCAUUCGUAUUAACGCGUCAGAGGUGGAAUUCUUAGAUUGCGUUACGACGAACUACUGCGAAAGCAUUUGCCAAGGAUGUUUUCAUUGAUCAAGAACGAAAGUAUGGGGAUCGAAGAUGAUCAGAUACCAU
rnacentral:rRNA from 1 species